GAAGAGAGAGGAAGAGAGAGAGUUGUGAGUUGAGUCAACUCGCUGACGAGUUGAGUCUGAGUUGACUCGGUCCAUAUUCUGGCUGGACGUUCCAGCAAUAAUAAAAGAAAAAAAGGGAAAGAAAGGAAGGGAGUGAGAAAGUGAAAGAGGGUAGAGAAGAGAGCGAGGGGGAGAGAGUCAACUCGCCAAGUCGUAGUUGAAUCCACGACUUGUCAUUUUGCCCAGAUUCGAGUUGCCAAGUUUAGCUAUCGAGUUGAGGUUUGACUCGAUCGAGCUACAUCCGUGCUACCUAGCAGGCCACACACAACUAGGUUGUUUAACCAAGUUGAUGCAGGUAUAGGGCAAACCGAUGUUGUUCACUAGGUUGCUAGAGCAGAUCGAGUAUCUAGGGAGCUAG